UUUCGGCUAAAUUGCCUCACUCCCGCAAAAAGAAAUGCUUCGGGUUGCUUUUUUCCCUUUCCACCACGAGUCAGAGACAGAGGAAGGGAUCGAGUGGACAACGGCGGCAACCAGAUCUAGGACGGUGCCCAGGCAGAUCCUCCACGGUAGAGAAGCUCGUUAUCGUCAGACCCCAUCUGACCUUGCAGGUCACGUUCAUCGCCGCCCCUUCCCUUCCUUCAUGGACCCGAAGUGGCCCUCUGCCGGAGGCUAUCUCUUCUCCCUCGGCUCUACCUCUCAACGGGCUCGUCAAGAUGCAUUUUUCAUACCUCGUGCAGCAUGGGUGAAGGAACUGCUCCUCCGGGAAAGAGGAAUUGUGUGGAUGAUGAGACGGAAGCUGCAAUGCUUGAGGUACUUGUUCAUCAUCACAACAAGGGUGACCAUUCACAAAAUGGAUGGAAAGCACAUGUGUACACUGCAACUAUCAAGAAUGUGAAGGAGAAGUGUAAUAAGGAUAUCGUGAAGGACAACAUAUUAAGAAGGCUUAGGACUUUCGACAAGCAAUAUGAAGUCAUUAACAAGACCCUUUCUCAAAGUGCUUUUGGUUGGUAUUGGGUCAAUCAUAAGCUCCUUAUUGAUAGCGAUGAUGUGUGGACUAAAUAUGUGGAGGCUAAUAAGAAAUAGAAAUCAUUACCUUCUUACAAGACCAAAGUAGUGAAGCACUGGGAAGCCAUAUCUACCAUAUAUUCAAAAGAUCAUGCAGAUGGUGAAGGUGCCAAGACAGAUGGUGAGACUGUUACAGAUCUAGAAGAAUCAAUUGAAACCUCUCCAGAAAUGGUACGAAAGAGACAACGAACACGUGAUUCCAUUAUGUGCAUGAUUGGAGAAAUGAGGACUACUUUUAGGGAUGCUUUGAAGAGAACUGAUCCACUUCCAUUGCCAAAGGUUACUACUCCUUCUGAAAUACUUGCUGCACUUGAGUUGAUACCAGAGUUGGGAGAAUCAGACAUGUUGCACUCUUAUGGAAAGAUGAAUCUUAAUGAGCUCUUGUUUGAAGCUCUAAUGGAGCUGCCAAUGCACAUGAGGAAGGCUUGACUAUUAUUAUUGCCUUGAAGUUAAGCAAGUUAUGCUUUCAUGUUUGUCUUGUUAAACUUGGACCUAUAUGAACUAUUUGGUUUGUUAUAUUUGGAACUAUGUAAUGUUCAACUUCAACUUAUUUGAACAAUUGUGUUGUUACAUUUGAACCUAUGCCCUGUUGAGAAUUUGGGACAACAAUAUGUGUUGUACUUUGUUGGUAUAAAAUUAUUUUUUGUUU